UACGAAGGGGGGCUAGCGUUGUUCGGAAUUACUGGGCGUAAAGCGCACGUAGGCGGAUCGAUCAGUCAGGGGGUGAAAAUCCCAGAGCUCAACUCUGGAACUGCCUUUUGAUACUGUCGAUCUGGAGUAUGGAAGAGGUGAGUGGAAUUCCGAGUGUAGAGGUGAAAUUCGUAGAUAUUCGGAGGAACACCAGUGGCGAAGGCGGCUCACUGGUCCAUUACUGACGCUGAGGUGCGAAAGCGUGGGUAGCAAACAGG
rnacentral:rRNA from 1 species